GACGUAGGGCGCGAGCGUUGUCCGGAUUUAUUGGGCGUAAAGAGCUCGUAGGCGGCUUGUUGCGUCGACCGUGAAAACCCGGGGCUCAACUUCGGGCUUGCGGUCGAUACGGGCGGGCUAGAGUUCGGUAGGGGAGACUGGAAUUCCUGGUGUAGCGGUGAAAUGCGCAGAUAUCGGGAGGAACACCAAUGGCGAAGGCAGCUUGCUGGACGGUACUGACGCUGAGACGCGAAAGCGUGGGGAGCAAACAGG
rnacentral:rRNA from 1 species